GUUAUAGUUACAAAGUGCCGUAACUCAAAAAGUUUUAAUCUUAUUUUCACCAAAAAGUAUACAGAUCAUUUGACCAUCAUAAGAAACAACUAUGUAAAGUUUCAUGAAAUUUGGAUAAGUCGUUCUCAAGUUACAGUGCGACAUGUUUACGCCGGACAGACAGACGGACACCAGACAUUUGUAUACCAUAAUACGUCCCGUCAAAAUUU
rnacentral:lncRNA from 1 species